AGAGUUUGAUCAUGGCUCAGGACGAACGCUGGCGGCGUGCCUAAUACAUGCAAGUCGAGCGGACUUUUAAAAGCUUGCUUUUAAAAGUUAGCGGCGGAACGGGUGAGUAACACGUGGGUAACCUGCCUGUAAGACUGGGAUAACUCCGGGAAACCGGGGCUAAUACCGGAUAACUUCUUUCCUGCGCAUGAGGACAAGAUUGAGAAGAUGGCUUCGGCUAUCACUUACAGAUGGACCCGCGGCGCAUUAGCUAGUUGGUGAGGUAACGGCUCACCAAGGCAACGAUGCGUAGCCGACCUGAGAGGGUGAUCGGCCACACUGGGACUGAGACACGGCCCAGACUCCUACGGGAGGCAGCAGUAGGGAAUCUUCCGCUAAUGGACGAAGAGUCGUACGGAGCGAACGCCGCGUGAGUGAUGAAGGUUUUCGGAUCGUAAAACUCUGUUGUUAGGGAA
rnacentral:rRNA from 1 species